CCUACGGGGGGCAGCAGUGGGGAAUAUUGCACAAUGGGGGAAACCCUGAUGCAGCGACGCCGCGUGAGUGAAGAAGUAUUUCGGUAUGUAAAGCUCUAUCAGCAGGAACGAGACAAGACGGUACCUGACUAAGAAGCCCCGGCUAACUACGUGCCAGCAGCCGCGGUAAUACGUAGGGGGCAAGCGUUAUCCGGAUUUACUGGGUGUAAAGGGAGCGUAGACGGCAUAGCAAGUCUGAUGUGAAAGAUCGGGGCUCAACCCCGGGCCUGCAUUGGAAACUGUUAAGCUGGAGUACAGGAGAGGUA
rnacentral:rRNA from 1 species